rnacentral:rRNA from 1 species
UACGGAGGGGGUUAGCGUUGUUCGGAAUGACUGGGCGUAAAGCGCGCGUAGGCGGAUCAGGAAGUUGGGGGUGAAAUCCCGGGGCUCAACCCCGGAAUGGCCUUCAAAACUCCUGGUCUUGAGUUCGAGAGAGGUGAGUGGAAUUCCGAGUGUAGAGGUGAAAUUCGUGGAUAUUCGGAGGAACACCAGUGGCGAAGGCGGCUCACUGGCUCGACACUGACGCUGAGGUGCGAAAGCGUGGGGAGCAAACAGG